UACGUAGGGUGCUAGCGUUAAUCGGAAUUACUGGGCGUAAAGCGUGCGCAGGCGGUUUUGUAAGUCAGAUGUGAAAGCCCCGGGCUUAACCUGGGAAUGGCAUUUGGGACUGCAAGGCUUGAGUGCGGCAGAGGAGACUGGAAUUCCUGGUGUAGCAGUGAAAUGCGUAGAUAUCAGGAGGAAUACCGAUGGCGAAGGCAGGUCUCUGGGCUGACACUGACGCUCAUGCACGAAAGCGUGGGGAGCAAACAGG
rnacentral:rRNA from 1 species